CUAUAUUGAAUGAGUGAUUAAUAGCUAUCUAGUUAGUUUGAUGUAGCAAUUGCAGUGAAUAGACCAGACAUGUUCAAAAUUUUUUAUUAGUCAGAGCAACGAUGGAUAAACGUUUCAUGAUGUCUCCUGACCAAACAACUGCAGUUGAAGUUCGUCAUUCCAAAGUGUACUGCAUGUUGUUCAAAGUUGAGGUACCUGUAGAAAAACUUUACCCUGGAGCUAAUAUUGCAGUAAAAGAGACCUCGAGCGUCUGGUAUGAAAUGUUGGUAUACCAAAAUAUAAGACAUGUGAAACAUUUCCUCAUAGAUAGAAAUAUAAACCAUGUCAAUACUGAUAAA